rnacentral:rRNA from 1 species
UACGUAGGGUGCGAGCGCUAAUCGGAAUUACUGGGCGUAAAGCGUGCGCAGGCGGCGCGUUAAGACAGGUGUGAAAGCCCCGAGCUUAACUUGGGAAUUGCGCUUGUGACUGGCGUGCUGGAGUGUGGCAGAGGGAGGUGGAAUUCCACGUGUAGCAGUGAAAUGCGUAGAGAUGUGGAGGAACACCGAUGGCGAAGGCAGCCUCCUGGGCCAACACUGACGCUCAUGCACGAAAGCGUGGGGAGCAAACAGGAUUA